rnacentral:lncRNA from 1 species
CCAGUGGAUUGUCCUUUCCUUUCUUUUCUAUUAAUAUUUGGCAACUCCUAUCGAUCCCUUUUGAGUCAACACAGAUGUCACCCCAAAACCUUUACUGACUUACUCAAACAGAUUAAAUUUCCAAAGAGAGGCUGCAUGUGUCUCUCUUUGUAUCCAUUUUUAUGGUAGUUCUUAACCAUACUGUAUUACAAUUAUUUGUCGUCCCCGUACCCCAGAGAUUUCAAGAACAGGUACCAUAGCUAAUUUCAUUUUGUGUAUCCAACUUCUCUUGCACAGUGCUUCACAAAUAAUAAAUGAUGAAUACAUGUUUGUUGAGUUGAAUUUUGUAUCAUAUUUAAUUGUCAUGUAUUAUAAUGUGUAUUUUUUUUUCUAGAGGCGUGGAGCUAUUUCCUAUGACAGUUCUGAUCAGACUGCAUUAUACAUUCGUAUGCUAGCAUGAAGGAAUGGCCACAGGACAGGUGACUAGUCAUUGUGGGAUGGAAUUAUAGUCGAUGAAGUGAGCCUUGGAGGAAGUCAUGGUCCUACUCAGAGAAACAGAGAGAUGUACGUGUAAGGAGCCGAGCAGGAUUUGAAUCAGAAAGAAGAGGUUCUCACCCAUAUAUUGAUUUUCGUAUUUUCCACUGUAAGUGUUGGUAGACAUGAAGUUUCUCGGAUUUUCACUACAAAUUUUAAUAAAAUUACACAGUUUUCCAAGG